GGGGGGCCACUAGGGACAGGAUGUUUUAGAGCUAGAAAUAGCAAGUUAAAAUAAGGCUAGUCCGUUAUCAACUUGAAAAAGUGC
rnacentral:misc_RNA from 1 species